ACAGGUGCUGCAUGGCUGUCGUCAGCUCGUGUCGUGAGAUGUUGGGUUAAGUCCCGCAACGAGCGCAACCCUUACCCUUAGUUGCCAGCGGGUAAUGCCGGGCACUCUAAGGGGACCGCCCCGGAUAACGGGGAGGAAGGCGGGGAUGACGUCAAGUCAGCAUGGCCUUUAUGUCCAGGGCUACACACGUGCUACAAUGGCUGGUACAAAGAGACGCAAGACGGUGACGUGGAGCAAAUCUCAAAAACCAGUCCCAGUUCGGAUUGUAGGCUGCAACUCGCCUACAUGAAGUUGGAGUUGCUAGUAAUCGCAGAUCAGAAUGCUGCGGUGAAUGCGUUCCCGGGUCUU
rnacentral:rRNA from 2 species